UACAGAGGUCCCAAGCGUUGUUCGGAUUCAUUGGGCGUAAAGGGUGUGUAGGUGGCGCCGUAAGUCGGGUGUGAAAUCUCGGGGCUUAACUCCGAAACUGCAUUCGAUACUGCGGUGCUUGAGGACUGGAGAGGAGACUGGAAUUCAUGGUGUAGCAGUGAAAUGCGCAGAUAUCAGGAGGAACACCGGUGGCGAAGGCGGGUCUCUGGGCAGUAACUGACGCUGAGGAACGAAAGCGUGGGUAGCGAACAGG
rnacentral:rRNA from 1 species